rnacentral:rRNA from 1 species
AACGAACGCUGGCGGCAUGCCUAACACAUGCAAGUCGAACGAGACCUUCGGGUCUAGUGGCGCACGGGUGCGUAACGCGUGGUAACCUGCCCUUAGGUUCGGAAUAACUCCCCGAAAGGGGUGCUAAUACCGGUUAAUGUCUUCGGACCAAAGAUUUAUCGCCUUUGGAUGGGCCCGCGUUGGAUUAGCUAGUUGGUAGGGUAAAAGCCUACCAAGGCGACGAUCCAUAGCUGGUCUGAGAGGAUGAUCAGCCACACUGGGACUGAGACACGGCCCAGACUCCUACGGGAGGCAGCAGUGGGGAAUAUUGGACAAUGGGCGAAAGCCUGAUCCAGCAAUGCCGCGUGAGUGAUGAAGGCCUUAGGGUUGUAAAGCUCUUUUACCCGGGAUGAGAAUGACAGUACCGGGAGAAUAAGCUCCGGCUAACUCCGUG